GUAGGUGAACCUGCGGAGGGAUCAUUCC
rnacentral:rRNA from 1 species